rnacentral:rRNA from 1 species
UACGGAGGGUGCUAGCGUUGUUCGGAAUGACUGGGCGUAAAGGGCGCGUAGGCGGCCGCUUGCGUCGGAUGUGAAAGCCCGGGGCUCAACCCCGGAACGGCAUCCGAUACGGGGCGGCUCGAGAGCGAGAGAGGUGAGUGGAAUACCCAGUGUAGAGGUGAAAUUCGUAGAUAUUGGGAAGAACACCAGUGGCGAAGGCGGCUAACUGGUCCGAUACUGACGCUGAGGUACGAAAGCGUGGGGAGCAAACAGG